rnacentral:rRNA from 1 species
UACGAAGGGGGCGAGCGUUGUUCGGAAUUACUGGGCGUAAAGGGCGCGUAGGUGGCCGAUCAAGUCAGAUGUGAAAGUCCUGGGCUUAACCUGGGGACUGCAUUUGAUACUGAUUGGCUUGAAUUCGGGAGAGGAUAGCGGAAUUCCCAGUGUAGAGGUGAAAUUCGUAGAUAUUGGGAAGAACACCGGUGGCGAAGGCGGCUAUCUGGACCGACAUUGACGCUGAGGCACGAAAGCGUGGGGAGCAAACAGG